rnacentral:lncRNA from 1 species
CAAGAGAACAGAACAGUGCCAGUACUCCAGAAGCUUCCUCAUGACCCCUUGUGGUCACUAUCCUGUCCCACUUCCCUCUCCAAAAGGGAAGGCCUAGCACACCCGGCUGGGAGAGUGAACACAGGUGCUCUGAGCAGCCACGGAGACUGGAACCAGCCACUCCACUCCUCAAGGCCGUUUCCUCUGCAGAGAACAAGGAUGGGUGGGCUCAGUAUCCCUAUACAGCAGUCCCCCUUUACCUAUGGAGGAUACAUUUGGAGACCCCCCAGCAGAUGCCCAAAGCCACAGAUAGUACCAAACCUAUAUAUACUAUGUUUCUUCCUAUACAUUACAUACCUACGAUGUCAUUUAAUUUAUAAUUAGGCAUAGUAAGAGAUUAAUA